rnacentral:rRNA from 1 species
UUCCUACGGGGGGCAGCAGUGGGGAAUAUUGCACAAUGGGCGAAAGCCUGAUGCAGCAACGCCGCGUGAAGGAAGAAGGCCUUCGGGUCGUAAACUUCUGUCCUUGGGGAAGAAGAACUGACGGUACCCAAGGAGGAAGCCCCGGCUAACUACGUGCCAGCAGCCGCGGUAAUACGUAGGGGGCAAGCGUUAUCCGGAAUUACUGGGUGUAAAGGGAGCGUAGGCGGGGAUGCAAGUUGGGUGUCAAAACUACCGGCUCAACUGGUAGUCGCACUCAAAACUGCAGCUCUUGAGUGAAGUAGAGG